CAGGUGGGGUUGUCAUGGUGGUGGCAGGGACAGAGACACUUGUCUGAGUUGUUCCAGGCUGGUAGUCAACCCUGGAGGUUUAAAGGGAGAGGGGCUGAUGAGUUAUUGGAAAGGGGUCCAGGAGACACACCCAUUGAGCUAGACCUGGCAUAGACUUUCUGAGAAAUCGCACACUAUUAUGGCAUUCCUUAGAGCUGCCUUGGCUGCCUCUGGAAAGUGAGCUGCUGGACAACUCCAGCUCACUGCUGGACUGUGUGUGUGUGUGUGUGUGUGUGGUGGUUGUGUGUGUGUACGUACAUGCGCGCAUGUCUGGGUAUGUGACUGCAGCCUGCAUUUUCUCCCCUACCAGCCUUCCUCCUCCCCUCCAGCCACCCUGGGAUUGGAGACUCUCAGCCCCUCCCCUCGACUCCCCCAAACCCUCCCAGAACCUUUAUCAGGAAGCUAGGACUGGUUCCUGCCACCUUCCAGAGCCCCUGUGCUCUUUUCUCUGUCUCCACAGCAGCACCAGCCAGCUCCCUGAUCCUGCCAGCCAUCCAGCUCCACAGCUUUGUCCUUCAGGCACCAUGAGGAGCGCCGUGCUGUUCUCCGUUGUCCUCGCCCUCAGCUUGGCUUGGACCUUCGGGGCUGUGUGUGAGGAGCCACAGGGGCAGGGAGGGAGGCUCAGUAAGGAAUCUGAUCUCUAUCAGCUACCUCCAUCCCUGCUUCGGAAACUCUACGACAGCCGCCCUGUCUCUCUGGAAGGACUGCUGAAAGUGCUGAGCAAGGCUAGCGUGGGACCGAAGGAGACAUCACGUCCACAGAAACGUGACAUGCACGACUUCUUUGUGGGACUUAUGGGCAAGAGGAACAGCCAGCCAGACACGCCCACCGACGUGGUUGAAGAGAACACCCCCAGCUUUGGCAUCCUCAAAUAGGCCCCCAGUGCAGAAAAGGUCUGAUUAUUCACAGCCAAAGUGUUUGCCUCCCAGAGAAGGAAGACAAGGAGUGAGCAAGGACCUGGGAGCCUCUGCAACCCUGCACAGCCUCCUGCCUCUCUCUCCCCACUGUGGGAAUCCAGUCACAGCCUCAGGGUGGCCAGUAGGAGACUCAAGAAGAACUCUUGCACUCUACUCCUGGAGCCCGGAUUGCAUCCUGAAGCAAUGCCUGCACUCCUGCUUCCUCUUCUCCUCCCCUGCCUAGAAGGUCCUCCUGUUGUCUCCCUUCCCUACUAUGCAUAGAAGCUGCAUAUGAACAGCCUCAACCCCAUAUCAAGUGUGGUUCCUGCAUUAAAAAUAUAACAAUAAAGAGUUUUUACAAAGGA